AUUGAACGCUGGCGGAAUGCUUUACACAUGCAAGUCGAACGGCAGCACGGACUUCGGUCUGGUGGCGAGUGGCGAACGGGUGAGUAAUGUAUCGGAACGUGCCCAGUCGUGGGGGAUAACGUAGUGAAAAUUACGCUAAUACCGCAUACGAUCUAUGGAUGAAAGCGGGGGAUCGCAAGACCUCGCGCGAUUGGGGCGGCCGAUAUCAGAUUAGGUAGUUGGUGGGGUAAAGGCCCACCAAGCCAACGAUCUGUAGCUGGUCUGAGAGGACGACCAGCCACACUGGAACUGAGACACGGUCCAGACUCCUACGGGAGGCAGCAGUGGGGAAGUUUGGACAAUGGGCGAAAGCCUGAUCCAGCCAUUCCGCGUGCAGGAUGAAGGCCCUCGGGUUGUAAACUGCUUUUGUACAGAACGGAAAGGUUUCUACUAAUACUAGGAGCUCAUGACGGUACUGUAAGAAUAAGCACCGGCUAACUACGUGCCAGCCGCCGCCGUAA
rnacentral:rRNA from 1 species